GGUCCCUUGGCCCAGUUGGUUAAGGCGUGGUGCUAAUAACGCCAAAAUCGGCGGUUCGAUCCCGCCAGGGACCA
rnacentral:tRNA from 1 species